GACGGGUGAGUAAUGUCUGGGAAACUGCCUGAUGGAGGGGGAUAACUACUGGAAACGGUAGCUAAUACCGCAUAACGUCGCAAGACCAAAGAGGGGGACCUUCGGGCCUCUUGCCAUCGGAUGUGCCCAGAUGGGAUUAGCUAGUAGGUGGGGUAACGGCUCACCUAGGCGACGAUCCCUAGCUGGUCUGAGAGGAUGACCAGCCACACUGGAACUGAGACACGGUCCAGACUCCUACGGGAGGCAGCAGUGGGGAAUAUUGCACAAUGGGCGCAAGCCUGAUGCAGCCAUGCCGCGUGUAUGAAGAAGGCCUUCGGGUUGUAAAGUACUUUCAGCGGGGAGGAAGGGAGUAAAGUUAAUACCUUUGCUCAUUGACGUUACCCGCAGAAGAAGCACCGGCUAACUCCGUGCCAGCAGCCGCGGUAAUACGGAGGGUGCAAGCGUUAAUCGGAAUUACUGGGCGUAAAGCGCACGCAGGCGGUUUGUUAAGUCAGAUGUGAAAUCCCCGGGCUCAACCUGGGAACUGCAUCUGAUACUGGCAAGCUUGAGUCUCGUAGAGGGGGGUAGAAUUCCAGGUGUAGCGGUGAAAUGCGUAGAGAUCUGGAGGAAUACCGG
rnacentral:rRNA from 1 species